GUGCUUCGAAAGCUCGACACAGUGUCGAAACCUGAGUAUCGAACGACCCAUCACUAGCUAUUGCAUUUCCGCUCCGAAGAUCAGCUAUAGUCUGGUGAAGCUGCAGAUGCCGAUGGAGACCAGAACUGCUUUGGAAAAAUAUGAAUGCCUUGGGGCCGAUCUGGAAGAAGGACUUAUUGACUGAAAUGGGCUUUCACGAAGAAACUUAGGGCUUUGCUACAGGAUACACCCUCCACAAGUUAAGGAAGUAAAAAUAAAG